AUUGUACGCUGGCGGCAGGCCUAACACAUGCAAGUCGAGCGGGGUUUUCGGACCUAGCGGCGGACGGGUGAGUAAUGCGUAGGAAGCUACCCGAUAGAGGGGGAUACCAGUUGGAAACGACUGUUAAUACCGCAUAAUGUCUACGGACCAAAGUGUGGGACCUUCGGGCCACAUGCUAUCGGAUGCGCCUACGUGGGAUUAGCUAGUUGGUGAGGUAAUGGCUCACCAAGGCGACGAUCCCUAGCUGGUUUGAGAGGAUGAUCAGCCACACUGGAACUGAGACCCGGUCCAGACUCCUACGGGAGGCAGCAGUGGGGAAUAUUGGACAAUGGGCGCAAGCCUGAUCCAGCCAUGCCGCGUGUGUGAAGAAGGCCUUCGGGUUGUAAAGCACUUUCAGUAGGGAGGAAGCGUUGUGUGUUAAUAGUACACAGCGUUGACGUUACCUACAGAAGAAGCACCGGCUAACUCUGUGCCAGCAGCCGCCGUAACAC
rnacentral:rRNA from 1 species